AUCGAACGCUGGCGGCAGGCUUAACACAUGCAAGUCGAGCGGACCUUUCGGGGUUUGCGGCGGACGGCUGGUGAAGGCGUGGGAAGUUGCCCUUCGGUUCGGAACCCGCCGGGGAGAAUAGGGCUGAUACCGGAGACGCCCUUACGGGGAAAGGUUUCCUGCCGGAAGAUCGGCCCGAGUCGGAUUGGCCGGUUGGUGGGGUAACGGCCUACUAAGGCGAGGGUCAGUAGCUGGGCUGAGAGGAUGGUCAGCCACACCGGGGCUGAGACACAGCCCAGACUCCUACGGGAUGGAGGAGUGGGGAAUACUGGACAAUGGGGGCAAGGCUGAUCCAGCCCUGCCGGGUGAGUGAUGAAGGCCUUAGGGUAGUAAUGCUCUUUUAUACGGGCCGAUAAUGACGGUACCGGAGGAAUAAGCCCCGGCUAACUACGUG
rnacentral:rRNA from 1 species